CAACGGAGGCAGCAGCCGCCGUCAUCAAAGAUGCAGAUCUUCAUGAAAACCUUGACGGGGAAGACCAUCAACCUUCACCAUCGACAAUGUCAAGGCCAAAAUCCAGGACAAGGAGGGCAUCCCCCUGGACCAUCAGUGCCUCAUCUUCGCCGACAAAUAGCUAGAGGAUGGUUGCACCCUAGUCGACUACAACAUCUAGAAGGAGUCCACCCUCCACCUCAUCCUCCGCCUCCGUGGUGGCGUCAAGAAGCUCAAGAAGAAGACCUACACCAAGCCCAAGAAGAUCAAGCAUAAGAAGAAGAAGGUCAAGCUUGCCAUCCUCCAGUUCUACAAGGUCAAUGCUCAGGAAUUCAAGGUGGGGGAUGAAGUAUUCGAAAACAUUGACAAAGCCAAAGGGAUGUGGGUCACUGGCGGAGUACACUACAGUGGAGGAGAAGGUACUUGCUUCAAAGCCCAAGAAUUUGAGUUUUGCUGAGGCUGCUAGCCUUCCUGUUGCCGUUGAAUAGCGUACAGGAGAGUUGAAAGCGCUUUCAACUGGUAAAUCACUUCUUGUUCUGGGUGGUGCUGGUGGAGUCGGAUCUUUUAUCAUUCAGCUGCUACUGUCUUUCUUGUACCUUUUUUGGAGAGGAAGGGAAAUUUCCUGAGGAUUGGAAAUGAUUCAGAUAGGUUGUCUUCAAUUGAGUCAAAAAGUGCAUUGGUUGGGAAUGAGAGCCAAAAAAUGAAGGGUUAUUGUCUGCUACAUCCUCCUCACAUUGCAAGCUGCUGAAGGAGGUACCUGAGUUUCAACAUUGCAUUUGAAGAACAAGCGUAAAAAGGGAAGUUUUCUUACCAAAUUAUGUUUUAAGUGUUUAGAAUUCCCAUUCAUAUAUACAAUGUUGCAUUUCCAGUAUAUUCAAGUGAGUUUUAGUGAUAACAUAUUUAUAAAUGCUCAUGGACUCAUUUGAUGUGCAUUUCAUGCCCAAAGGUGCCAUUUUGGUGUAAAAGUGCAAAGAUGACCAAAGAAACUCACCCCUCGUUUUGCAAUGUAGAUGUGUUUGAUGUGUUUUGAGAGGUUGGAUAUUUUGUUUAUGGUAUAUUACACUUGCGUGGGGGUUGGAUUUGAUAAAAAGUUUAUCCAAUGUGUAAUUUGGAAUUGGCCUAAAAAUGGAGAAAAAGUUUGAAAAAUUGCAGUUUCUGCAAUUAGUGCAGAAAUGUGCUGAUCCGAGCUUGGAUCCGACAAAACCCAGACGAAUCCGACCUCGGAUCGGUUGAGGACCAAAGGCGAAAUUAGAAGAUCCGACCUCGGAUCCUAAGUUUUUCGCUCGGAUCUGAGGGCUCGUCUGUGUUUCUAAAAGGCCGGAUCCGAGCCUAUAGGAUCCGAGCUUUGGUAUACACGAUCCGACUUCGGAUUAAGUAUUCUUGAAAAAUUCAGAAUGGGGAAUCCAAGCUCGGAUCCAACAAAAUUCAGUCGGAUCCAAGGGCUCGGCUGAACAUCUGAAGUAGCAGAUCCGAACCCUGUCGGAUCCGAGGGCUGCUAGAAUCGAUCCGUGCUCAGAUCGGUUCGCGGAUAUAGCAGAACCGAAGCCUCGGUUCUGCCAUUUUCUAGCUUUUUCCUAUUUCUCUUCACCGAACCCUAGCCUCCUUUCUCCAAUCUCCUAAUUUACCCACCAAACUUCCAUUUUUUAACCAUAAAAACAUCUCCCUACCACUUGUGAUUAUUAACCCUAAACAAAUUCGCAUCAAAACAACAUUCAAAAGGGAUUUUAAUCAUCUUCAAGAGACUUUGGGGUCAACUGAAAUUCUUCAAUUUCGGGUCGAAUUUGGGUUGUUUUCUCCCUCUUUUUGGCAUCAUUAUCAUCCCAUAGCAUCACUCUUCACAUUUGAGGUAAGAAAUUUCAACUUUCUUUGUUAUUUCACAUUUCCUAUUUCUUAUUUUUUUGUAUUUUUCUAUA